rnacentral:rRNA from 1 species
AUACGGAGGGUGCAAGCGUUACUCGGAAUCACUGGGCGUAAAGCGCGCGCAGGCGGCUAUUUAAGUUGGAUGUGAAAGCCUACGGCUCAACCGUAGAACUGCAUCCAAAACUAUUUAGCUAGAGUGUGGGAGAGGAAGAUGGAAUUAGUUGUGUAGGGGUAAAAUCCGUAGAGAUAACUAGGAAUACCAAAAGCGAAGGCAAUCUUCUGGAACACUACUGACGCUGAGGCGCGAAAGCGUGGGGAGCAAACGGGAUUAGAUACCCCAGUAGUCC